UACGGAGGGUGCAAGCGUUAUCCGGAUUUACUGGGUUUAAAGGGUGCGCAGGCGGAUAUGUAAGUCAGUGGUGAAAUCUCUAGGCUUAACCUGGAAAUUGCCGUUGAUACUAUAUAUCUUGAAUGCUGUGGAGGUAAGCGGAAUAUGUCAUGUAGCGGUGAAAUGCUUAGAUAUGACAUAGAACACCUAUUGCGAAGGCAGCUGGCUACACAAAUAUUGACACUGAGGCACGAAAGCGUGGGGAUCAAACAGG
rnacentral:rRNA from 1 species